rnacentral:rRNA from 1 species
UACGUAGGGUGCAAGCGUUGUCCGGAAUUAUUGGGUGUAAAGAGCUCGUAGGCGGUCUGUCGCGUCGGCUGUGAAAACCUGGGGCUUAACUCCGGGCCUGCAGCCGAUACGGGCAGACUAGAGUUCGGCAGGGGAGACUGGAAUUCCUGGUGUAGCGGUGAAAUGCGCAGAUAUCAGGAGGAACACCGGUGGCGAAGGCGGGUCUCUGGGCCGAAACUGACGCUGAGGAGCGAAAGCGUGGGGAGCAAACAGG